AUGUAAACUUAGAUGAAAUGUCAAAAUCGCUUCAAUGAGACAUGCUUAUUCAUUAUUUACUUAAUCCUCCCUUCCUGGGGUUAGAGAAAAACAUUGCACAAAAGUAGCAUAGUGUGGGGAGAAAUGUUAAGACUGAGUCGAGACGCUUGUAGAACUCUUGCACUUAUUGAAUUGCUGCAUUCAGUCCACGGAUUGAGAAGAGAUCCCACACUAAAGGUAUUACACGAGGAUGAGGCCAUGAAUGCCAGAAGGCAAGGACCGUUGGAGGUCAUCUUACAACCUACCCACCAAAGCUUUGUCUUCAGUUUGGAGAAGUUUUGAGUUGCUAUUCGCAGCAUACCAAGAACAGUAUCUGCAAUCAGUAACUGCCAUGCAAGUAUUUGUUAAUAAAGGAAAUGGGAAGCCCCUGAAUGAUUUCAUCAGAGAGGAGUGGCACCAUCAGGUUUACAUUCCGAAAAGAUGGCUUUGGCUGCAGUAUGAAGAAUGGGUUGAGGAGCUCAUGAGACAACCAGGUGGGAGGCUCUCGCAGAAGAUGAGGCAGAGAUGAUGGUGGCUCAUGGGCAGGACUGAGAAAUGGCCACAAGGACCCAUGGGUGCUGAUAUUGCAUGCAGAGAUCUUGAGAGCUGUUUUGUGCAUUCUGUGGCUGGGUCUUUGAUCAGUGGAGAAAAUUUUGUGAUGGCAUCUGAAUCCACCUGGAACAUCAGUGCCUGUAUUGGUCACAACUUUUCUGGUGGCAAAUAACAAAAUCCUUCUCUAGGUAUCUUGAGUGCAUCCCCUGUACCUCAGUUAUAGUGGCUUUAGCUUCGUUAAUUCAUUCACCUAUCAAUCUAUCUAUUCACCUAGUAAUCACAUUGUUCACUCCCCUCUAUGCCAGUUACUGCACUGGACACUGGGGAUACAACCAUGAAAAAUCCAGGCACAGAGCCCACCUUUACGGGGGGUAAGAAUCAAGUGGAGAUAAGGAAAUGGGUGACUUCCAACACAAUGACAAGCCCAGGCAGGGUGGGAUGGCAGCCCACUGUACAACUGUCUACUCAAGUUUGGGAGGCUGGUCAAGGAAGGCUUCCAAGAGGAGGUAAUAAUAUAAUAAUAUCUAGGCUGAGACCUGAGCAGAAGAAAGGGUUCACUAGGAAGGGAGAAGGAGGCCUGAGGAGAUUGGCCUGUGCAGUGUGGGGGCUGUGAGAGAAGGAUGAUCUUUUCCAGCUUUCAAGUGGAAAUCAGAAUACGGAUUCCUACAGGAGGUUCCCCGCCCCCUGACAGUUUGUGACAGUAAGGACAGGCCCCUGAGAUGACUCGUCACAUUUCCAAAAGUGGGAUGGAACCUGCAUAAGGCAAGCAGGACAAAGAAACUGCCUAUGUCUCAGGGUUCUGGUGGAAUUUCAUAUGCCCUGGGCCAAAGCUUCUUAUCUUGUGCUAAUCAGAAGUUCCAACUGGCAGUUCCAUGUCUUUGAUUAAUAAAAAUAGGGGUGGUAAUUAAUUACUUAAUAAAUGCAAUUUCCUUUCCUCAAUUUCUGUCCUCAAAUUCAACUAUUUUAUUUUGUCUUACUGUAAGGUUUGUAUACCUGUAAGUGGUCCUAAAAGCCUCAAUGGACACAGGCAUGACAUAAAUAAACA